AAUAGAUACCCGGGUAGUCCACGCCGUAAAACGAUGAGUGCUAAGUGGUUAGGGGGGUUUCCCGCCCCUUAGUGCUGCAGCUAACGCAUUAAGCACUCCGCCGUGGGGAGUACGACCGCAAGGUUGAAACUCAAAGGAAUUGGACGGGGGACCCGCACAAGCGGUGGAGCAUGUGGUUUAAUUCGAAGCAACGCGAAGAACCUUACCAAAUCUUGACAUCCUCUGACCCCUCUAGAGAUAGUAGUUUUCCCCCUUCGGGGGGACAGAGUGACAGGUGGUGCAUGGUUGUCGUCAGCUCGUGUCGUGAGAUGUUGGGUUAAGUCCCGCAACGAGCGCAACCCUUAAGCUUAGUUGCCAUCAUUAAGUUGGGCACUCCAAGUUGACUGCCGGUGACAAACCGGAGGAAGGUGGGGAUGACGUCAAAUCAUCAUGCCCCUUAUGAUUUGGGCUACACACGUGCUACAAUGGACAAUACAAAGGGCAGCGAAACCGCGAGGUCAAGCAAAUCCCAUAAAGUUGUUCUCAGUUCGGAUUGUAGUCUGCAACUCGACUAU
rnacentral:rRNA from 1 species